rnacentral:rRNA from 1 species
CCUACGGGAGGCAGCAGUGAGGAAUAUUGGUCAAUGGACGAGAGUCUGAACCAGCCAAGUAGCGUGAAGGAUGACUGCCCUAUGGGUUGUAAACUUCUUUUAUAAAGGAAUAAAACGAGGCACGUGUGCCUUUUUGCAUGUACUUUAUGAAUAAGGAUCGGCUAACUCCGUGCCAGCAGCCGCGGUCAUACGGAGGAUCCGAGCGUUAUCCGGAUUUCUUGGGUUUAAAGGGAGCGUAGAUGGGUUGUUAAGUCAGUUGUGAAAGUUUGCGGCUCAACCGUAAAAUUGCAAUUGAUACUGGCAGUCUUGAGUACAGUUGAGGUAAGCGGAAUUCGUGGUGUAGCGGUGAAAUGCUUAGAUAUCACGAAGAACCCCGAUUGCGAAGGCAGCUUACUAAACUGUGACUGACAUUGAUGCUCGAAAGUGUGGGUAUCAAACAGGAUUAGAUACCCUUGUAGUC